rnacentral:rRNA from 1 species
UCGAACGCGAAAGUCCCGCAAGGGAUCAGUAGAGUGGCAAACGGGUGAGUAACGCGUGGGUGACCUGCCUUCGAGCGGGGGAUAACGUCCCGAAAGGGGCGCUAAUACCGCAUAACAUCCUGUCUUUGAACAGGUGGAGAUCAAAGCUGCGGAUCGCAAGACGUAGCACUCGAAGAGGGGCCCGCGUCCGAUUAGCUAGUUGGUGAGGUAAUGGCUCACCAAGGCGACGAUCGGUAGCCGGCCCGAGAGGGCGGACGGCCACACUGGGACUGAGACACGGCCCAGACUCCUACGGGAGGCAGCAGUGGGGAAUUGUUCGCAAUGGGCGCAAGCCUGACGACGCAACGCCGCGUGGAGGAUGAAGAUCUUCGGGUCGUAAACUCCUUUCGAUCGAGAAGAAUUCCCUUGGGGUGAACAAUCCCGAGGGUUGACGGUACCGAGGGAAGAAGCCCCGGCUAACUCCGUGCCAGCAGCCGCGGUAAUACGGGGGGGGCAAGCGUUGUUCGGAAUUACUGGGCGUAAAGGGCUCGUAGGUGGCCAACUAAGUCAGACGUGAAAUCCCUCGGCUUAACCGGGGAACUGCGUCUGAUACUGGAUGGCUUGAGUGUGGGAGAGGGAUGCGGAAUUCCAGGUGUAGCGGUGAAAUGCGUAGAUAUCUGGAGGAACACCGGUGGCG